rnacentral:tRNA from 1 species
GGGCCAUUAGCUCAAUUGGCAGAGCAGGAUCCUCUUAAGAUCAAGGUCGUUGGUUCGACUCCAACAUGGCCCA